rnacentral:rRNA from 1 species
UGUGAAUAGAAGAUAGAGCCCGUACCGCAAACCGACACAGGUAGAUAGGAAGAAGAUUCUAAGGCCAACGGGAGAAGGGUUGUUAAGGAACUCGGCAAGUUGACCCCGUAACUUAGGGAGAAGGGGUGCUCUUUAAGGAGAGCCGCAGAGAAUAGGCCCAAGCGACUGUUUAGCAAAAACACAGCUCUAUGCUAAAUCGAAAGAUGACGUAUAUGGGGUGACACCUGCCCGGUGCCGGAAGGUUAAGAGGAGGAGUGAGAGCUCUGAAUUGAAGCCCCGGUAAACGGCGGCCGUAACGAUAACGGUCCUAAGGUAGCGAAAUUCCUUGUCAGGUAAGUUCUGACCCGCACGAAUGGUGUAACGAUUUGGGCACUGUCUCAACAACCUGCCCGGCGAAAUUGUAGUACCGGUGAAGAUGCCGGUUACCCGCGACUAGACGGAAAGACCCCAUGGAGCUUUACUGCAGCUUAAUAUUGAAUUUCGGUAUUUCAUGUACAGGAUAGGUGGGAGACAGGGAACCAUAGGCGUCAGCUUAUGGGGAGUCGACCUUGGGAUACCACUCUUGAGGUGCUGGAAUUCUAACCUGUGGCUCUGAAUCGAGUCAGGGGACAUUGUUAGGCGGGCAGUUUGACUGGGGCGGUCGCCUCCAAAAAGGUAACGGAGGCGCUCAAAGGUUCGCUCAGCAUGGAUGGAAACCAUGCUUUUGAGUGUAAACGCAAAAGCGAGCCUAACUGCGAGACUGACGGGUCGAGCAGUAACGAAAGUUGGAGUUAGUGAUCCGGCGGUAUGUGAGUGGAAAUGCCGUCGCUCAACGGAUAAAGCUACCCUGGGGAUAACAGGCUGAUCUCCCCCAAGAGUCCACAUCGACGGGGAGGUUUGGCACCUCGAUGUCGGCUCAUCGCAUCCUGGGGCUGAAUUCGGUCCCAAGGGUUUGGCUGUUCGCCAAUUAAAGCGGUACGCGAGCUGGGUUCAGAACGUCGUGAGACAGUUCGGUCCCUAUCUGUCGUGGGCGUAGGAUAUUUGAAAGGAGCUGUCCCUAGUACGAGAGGACCGGGAUGGACGCACCGCUGGUGCACCAGUUGUCAUGCCAAUGGCACAGUUGGGCAGCUAUGUGCGGAACGGAUAAACGCUGAAGGCAUCUAAGCGUGAAGCCGACCUUAAGAUAAGAUAUCCCUUCGUAAGAGUAAGACCUCUCAUAGACUAUGAGUUUGAUAGGCCUAAGGUGUAAGCACAGUGAUGUGUUCAGCCUGCAGGUACUAAUCGGUCGAGGGCUUUUCCG